UGGCUCAGAACGAACGCUGGCGGCGUGCCUAACACAUGCAAGUCCAACGUGAAAGGGGAGCAAUCCCCCGGUAGGGUGGCAAACGGGUGAGUAAUACAUGGGUGAUCUACCUUAGGGAUGGGGAUAUCCUUCCGAAAGGAGGGGCAAUACCGAAUAUUGUCCGGAGCCAUGAAGGGUUCCGGGGAAAGGGAGGCCUCUGAUACAAGCUUUCGCCUUAAGAUGAGCCCAUGGCCCAUCAGCUAGUUGGUAGGGUAAAGGCCUACCAAGGCUACGACGGGUCGCUGGUCUGAGAGGACGACCAGCCACACUGGCACUGAGAUACGGGCCAGACUCCUACGGGAGGCAGCAGUGAGGAAUAUUGCGCAAUGGGGGAAACCCUGACGCAGCAACGCCGCGUGUGGGAAGAAGGCCUUCGGGUCGUAAACCACUUUUGCACGGGACGAAAAAGGGAUAUCGGACAAAUAUCCCCGAUGACGGUACCGUGAGAAUAAGCCACGGCUAACUCUGUGCCAGCAGCCGCGGUAAGACAGAGGUGGCAAGCGUUGUUCGGAAUUACUGGGCGUAAAGAGUCUGUAGGUGGUUUGUCAAGUCUUUGGUGAAAGGCCGUAGCUUAACUAUGGGAAUGCCAAAGAGACUGGCAGGCUGGAGGCUGGGAGAGGGAAGCGGAAUUUCUGGUGUAGCGGUGAAAUGCGUAGAUAUCAGAAGGAAGGCCGGUGGCGAAAGCGGCUUCCUGGAACAGUCCUGACA
rnacentral:rRNA from 1 species